rnacentral:lncRNA from 1 species
GCAAUAUCAGUGAGUAUCUCACCAAGAAAUCAACAUGUGUUAGUAGGAUUAGCUGCCAAGAGGUUGAUAUGGGUCUUCACAACAAAUCAGGUAAUUUAAGUUUAAAGUGUUUUUUAGCUCACCUAGUCUAUAAGAGGUUGUAAGCUGACAUCACAUGGUCGAGAUCCCCACCCUUAAACCAUAUACAUUCUUGUAGGGGACAAUAAAACAAAUGAAAUGAAAUGUAGGUAAAUUCCCUGGUGGUCACCACCACCCCCUCCUGUUUGAAUACUUGUAAAUGGUGGAGAUCCCUACUUGUAAGCCAUAUAUAUUCUUGUAUGGGACAAAAAAUCAAAUCAAAUGAACAUGGGACCAUAUGAAUGGCGAGUUAUGGGAGAUUUGUUUGGGAGACUUCGUAACAGCAUCCUGUUACAAUUACUUCUUGUUAUAUAUAUAAACUCAAUAGAUGUUUAUGUCCCCGCCACAGCAGAGGUGGCAUUUAGUGUUACCCUUGUACAUCUGUAUGUACAUCCAAAAAUAAGUUUCCAUUCUCUAAUUUAUUUUUGUCUUAACUAAAUGUUAUAAAACUUUGUCACAUUAUUACAACACAGCUCAGAUCAAGGUUAAAUUUGGAUGCUGGUCAAAAUGUGCAUCAAGUUUUAAAAUAUUUUUCUUGUGCACAAUGAAUUUUAAAAGAACAUUUUUAUUAGAUUAGUCAGAAGUUAAGAGCAAAAACCAUUUUUUGUCCGUUUUUUUUUUUUUUUUUUAUAAAGAUCAAUAACUAAUUUCCAAGAAUAAUAGCAAUAGUGACAUAAAAAUGUUAUACUUUAAUUUUGUAGCUGGUUGGUCAGAUUUAUAAGCUAGAUAAUGCCAAUACAGGAGAAAACUCUACCAAGGUAAGUUUGUUGUGAUCAUUUAUACCAAGAUAUAUUCUAUUUGUCUCUUGGUAAUCAGAUAUUCUGUAAGAGUUAUCUAUAUUUUUACAAUUUUCUGCAUAAAAAGGGUAUGUUUCUAUGGUGAUUGAAGCCUUGUAGGAAGAACAUGUUUGAAUAUAUAAACUACAUUAUAGACAGAUAGACAAGUUUACUAAACAAAAUGUCAGACAAAAAAUCUUUUGGAUAGACAGAACUUUUAAGAUAUUUUGGUUGAAAAUAUAGUAGAAAAGUUCAAAUUUCUUUUUCGGUCAGACAAACCCUAAAACAGUUUGGCACAGACUGCACUCAAAUAUUUUAUUAUUACAUUUUUGAUUACUACCUAAAUGCAGCACUAUUGAAAAUGCGUAAUUUUCCUGUCCUGCAUUUUAACUAUAAUUAGAUUCUGUAUAAUACUCGUCAUAUUUAAUGAAAUAUUUCUCCUUAUAUUCCAGCAUGUGAUGGAUAUAAUGCAUCCAUGUGACAUAGACAUCAGGUCACAUGUCAGUGUUAAUUCAGCCAGGUGGAUGCCUACUCCAGGACAUGGACUAGUAUACGGUACUAAUCGUGGAGAUCUACAGAUAUGUAGACCAGGGUGAGUAAUUGCAUUUAUUAUUACCAGUUUACCUUACCAUUUGAAAUGCUAACAUGAAAUUUUCAUGUUAGUAUUUCUUCACAAUAAAUAUUGUUCAUUUUUGUACUACAUUUCUGUCAUAAUUAGGUUAUCUAUUAUAUCACCUACUGUAAAUUCAGAAAUUAUUGCAUGCAUUUAAUAUUGCGAUUUUGUCAUUUUUGACUAAAAUGCAAUUUAAAUUUUGCGAUAUUGAGAAAAAUCCUGUUUUAUUCAUAUAAAAAAGUUCAAAAUGUGAGUUAAAAUUAUUGCGACUAUAACCCUGUCGCAUUAAUUGCAAUAAUAAAAACAUCACAAUAAUUUUUGAAUUUACAGUAUAUGUAUUCAGCAGUUAAGGUUUGGGGCUUUACAUUCACUUCUUUUCUGAAUUUUUUUCAUCGCACCAAAAUCAACGAAUGUUUAUAGGCUUUGGGAAAUGACACAUUGUUUAACUACUUCAAAGUCUGUGUUUUUGAUAACUGAAGUGUGAUAAUUUGUGGUCCUUUACUUUGAUAAAGAGUUUAAAACUUAUUUUCAGUGUUAAUUCUGCACGCCACUCCACUUAUAUUUCAGCCAAGACUUCAUCAUAAAUUCAAACAUAAUGAGCAUUAUAAUUAAAAAGACCUCAAAGGAACUUGUUCAAGGCUCCAUAUAUUAUUUUUUUGUGUGCCCAUACAUAUCAUAGAUUUGUAAAAGCUUGAAAUUUGUCCUAUUAUACAAUUAUUGUUUGUUGCAUACAAAUUUUCACAGAAUUUGUUGUUUCUUCAAACCACCAACUAGGAACAAGAAGUACCUAAGCUACUAAGCUAUAACUUAUUUUCCAUUGAGUCCAUAAUUGUGUUAAUUUUAAAACAACAAAUUUGAACCCCCCCCCCAAAAAAAAACAAUGUUUGCAAAAUCUACACAUAAACAAAAGUGCUUCCUAAGUGUUUCCUUGUCCUGAACAUGCAUGAAAUAUUUGUCACUAUACAUUAAGCAACCAACAGUCAACUAAUCUUAAGUAUACAAAAUUCAAAAUCAUAAACUAGUCAAAGCUGUAUUAGUUCAAGUACACUAUUAACUUCAUCGGCUCAUGUAGCAUGUUUACUUUGGAGUGUUGGAGGUCCUGCUUGGGCUUGAUCCCUCUCUAGGUAAAAAAAAAUGCUUCAGAAAUCAUGUUGUUAAUUCUUGUUUUUUUGUAACCAAUUCUUCUUUAUUGUGGGGAAAUUGAUUUUUUGUGAAUUCCUGACUUCCUCAUUUUAAACAAGAAUAUAGGAAAUUUGUAUUUUGUUAAAACUCUUCAUUUGGUAGUUCCUUUAUACCUACUAUAAUCACCUUGUGAGCUAGCAGGUGGAACUUCUGACUCAGCAUGUCAGACUUGUUCAGACAGGAUUAAUUGAUGUCUUGUUGACAUGCUAUUAUCCUGAAAUCAUUACAGUUAGAUAUUCAGCAGUCACUUAUCAAUCUUUAUUUGAAGGCAGUAGCUUGCAGAUCUGUAUUGUAGUUGUGUCAAUAUCAAUUCUACUUUUAAGAGGUAUUGCAUGAAAUAAAAUGGGACAAUUUGAUUUUCAAAAAUGAUACACAAAGCUUGACAACUUCAAUAUUUACUAACAUGAAGAGGUUCAGUAAAAGCUUUUUUCCUUUCCUAAUUCAUCUUUGAAAUUUUAUCUAUUAUUUUGUCCAGCUGUAAUGCCACCCCAUACAAACACACACAAGUAUGUGAAUAGAGCAAACAUAAAAUUACAGUGGCUAUAAUACAUAUCAAUAGAAAAAUUUGUAAGGGUUCCACAGAACCCAGUGUCUCGCCUACUUUUGCUGUUAAUGACAGGCUCAACAAAAAUGAAUAAAAAAAUGUCAGUUAAAAAAUUCCCCUUGAUGAUAUCUUUUGAUUGUAAGAAGCUUCUGUCCAAGUUUGAUAAAAAUCCAGGAUAGUUUAUGAAUCUAAUAAUAAAUGUUUAAAAAACUUUAACUGCAGACUACAUGUACAUGUAUAUGUAAUGUUCAUUGAAAGAAAAACUAAGUCCAUUUAUAAGUAAAAUACAGAUACACAGGUACAAAAUUUUAACAAAUUUUUUUUCUAGAUACUAGCUUUUGAUCAUAAACAAACUUCUGUCCAAGUUUGGUACAUAUCCAAAAUAGUAUAAGAAAGUUAUUAAAAUUUUAAUAACUUUAACCAUGGAGUGAAAGUGUUGUUUCGUGGCAGAAAAUCAAUGUCCAUUUAAAAGUAAAAUACGUGAAAAAUGGAUUUAUUUUUUCACAAAAUUUACCUCUAGAUACUAUCUUAUGAUCAUAACCAAGCUUCUGUCCAAGUUUGGUACAAACCCAGGAUAGUUUAAGAAAGUUAUUAAAAUUUUAAAAACUUUAACCUCAGAGUGAAUUUGAUGUUCCCUUGCAGAAAAUAUAAGUCCAUUUAAAAGUUAAAUACAAAAAAAAUGGAAUCUUAUUUUUACAAAAUUUACUUCUAGAUACUAUCUUAUGAUCAUAACCAAGCUUCAAUCCAAGUUUGGUACAAACCCAGGAUAGUUUAAGAAAGUUAUUAAAAUUUUAAAAACUUUAACCACAGAGUGAAUAUUUGUGGAUGCCAGUCACGCCACCACUGCAGCCAGAAUGUAGGAUUGCUAUGUCUCGAUUUUUCGACUGAAUUUGAAGGCUCGACAAAAAUUAUAUAUAAUAUACUUCUGCAAAGUGAUAACAAGAGUAAAGCUGACAUUUUAAACGACCAAUUCCAGUCAGUAUUUACCAAAGAAACCUAAAUAACUUUCCAGAUAAAGGUAAAAGUCCAUACUCCACCAUGAAGGACAUAAAAAUUAGUACCAACGGAGUCCACAAAUUAUUAAAAAACCUAAAACCGCAUAAAGCUACUGGUCCCGAUUCAAUACCAGCCUUUAUACUGAAAGCAGCAGCAGAACAACUUGCUCCUAUACUCACAGACCUAUAUCAAACAUCAUUGAACACUGGUGAAGUCCCGCAAGAUUGGAGAGAUGCCAAUGUAGUUCCACUUUUUAAAAAAGACGAAAGGCACCUAGCAUCUAACUACAGACCAGUAUCUCUAACUUCCAUCACAUGUAAGGUCUUAGAACAUAUUGUACAUAGCAACAUCAUGGACCACUUUGACAAAAAUAAAAUACUAACUGAUGCACAACACGGAUUCCGCAAAAGACGAUCAUGCGAAUCCCAACUAAUCGUAACCAUCAACGACAUUGCAUCGAAAUUAAAAAGUAGCGGCCAAGUAGACAUCAUCCUGCUUGACUUUGCAAAAGCAUUUGACAAGGUACCACAUCACCGCCUCCUACACAAGUUGGAAUACUACGGCGUCAACCCCAAAACCAAUAAAUGGAUUCGCUCCUUCCUACAUAACAGAAAACAGAGCGUGAUAUUAGAGGGUGCCGUCUCUUCACAAGUACCAGUACUCUCUGGUGUACCCCAAGGCACAGUCCUUGGUCCAUUACUGUUCCUGGCCUACAUUAAUGACAUGCCAGAAACAGCAUCUACAUCAGAGACCAAAUUGUUCGCGGAUGACAGCCUUCUCUUUUCGUACCAUCACCAACCAAGCUGACAGUGAACUUCUACAAAAGGACUUAACAGCAUUGGAAGACUGGGAAAACAAAUGGCAGAUGAGUUUUAAUGCCAAAAAAUGCCUUGUCAUUAGAAUAUCCCCCAAAAAAUAGACCAGUGAUACAAAACAUCGUACCAUCUUCACGGUCAUACUCUAGACACAGAGGAAGCAAGUAAAUAUCUUGGAGUAACCAUCAGCAACAACCUAACAUGGAUAACACAUAGACAAUACAGUAGGCAAAGGAAACAGAACGUUGGGGUUUAUACGUAGAAACCUCAAAGGCUGUACAAAACCUGUAAAAGCAGCUGCAUAUGUGUCCAUGGUAAGACCUGCAGUGGAAUAUGCAAGCACAGUAUGGGACCCAACCGCCCAAAAUAAAAUCAAGGCAAUUGAACAGGUGCAGAAAAGAGCAGCACGAUUUGUGAAUAACAACUACACAGACCGAACACCUGGCUGUGUCACAAAUAUGGUUAAAAAUCUAAAGUGGGAAAGCCUCGAAGAACGGAGGAAAACAAAUAGAUUGUGCAUGCUAUUCAAGAUCCAGCAUGAACUUAUAGAUAUAGACCGUCACCAAUAUUUGACCCCGAAUGAUAACCGGACCAGAGGUAAAAAACCGCUUCUUCCAAGAAAGACAGUACAGACACCUAUGGCCAAUCUUUCUUCCCGAGGACAAUCAGGGACUGGAACAACCUACCAACAACAGUUACAGCGACCAACACCGUUGAGGGAUUCAGAGCUGCCCUGAAGGCAUGCUCUGAAAGGAAGUAGGAAAACCAGUUGUAAAUAAUUUUAAUUGUAUAUUUUUUUGCGAACGUUUUAAAUGUAAUUUGUAAAUAGCCAAGAGAAAAUCUUUCUGUGUUGCCCGACACUGCGUAAAGUUUUCGCGCGGAACCAUUAACAUUCAGCAAUGAAUCCGGUUCCUUACCUGGAAGAAGAAGAAAACAAGCAUUUUGUUACUUUGUACAUAUUAUGAAUUUAAGGAGUUGUGUUGUAUAUAUUACCUUGAUUAUUUAGUGAAUCUACCAUACAAACCACAGGACAUUCACUCAUUAUGUAAUGUCACUACAGUGAUAUAAUUGUAUAUUUCUAAGUCAUUGAUAAAUUCAGUGUGAAUAAUCAAAUCUUGCUCAGAUCUUUCAUAUACGUCAAUGAGACAGCAACCCAGAAUACAUAACAAAAUACAAAAAACAUCUAGUGUGGUUAUUUUCACAUUUAUUGUCAAUGUACAGCACUAUAUUUAUUGUCAAAGAACUAAUUGUAUAGUUCAAGUAAAAGUACAAUUUAACAGAUGACACAGUUCCUAUAACUGGAGACUUAUUGAUAAGCAUACAUAAAAAUAAUUUGAUAAAUACCUAUGAUGAAGUCUGUCCUAAGUUGCACUAGUGAUAAUUAAAGUUUGAAAGAGGGUUCCUUUAGUUUUUCAAAGAAUUCUGUAAUCUUCUAAGUUCUUCUGUCUAGGAUCUUGUUUUAACGGAAGCAUUUCUCGGUCUAUGUGUUCCUCUAGUUCAUUAAGUGGAUUACGAACAAAAUUGAUGACACUUCACAGUUUGAAAGAUGGUUUCCUCAGUUUUUCAAAGAAGUCUGUGAUCUUCUUCUGUCUAGGAUCAUGUUUUAACGGAAGCAUUUCUUGGUCUAUGUGUUCCUCUAGUUCAUUCAGUGGAUUACGUAUAAAGCAGUCCAUCAUACCAUUCUGUUCAUAAUACAUACGAAGCAUCUGUAUAUAUUUCUUGGCAGUAGCUGGUGUGAUAAUUUUUUCAUUAUUUUUCACUGAAUCAGGAAGUGGAAUAGAAGGUUUCAGAUGAAGGUGUUUCACUGGUUUCCUGUUCCUGCGUUUUCGUAAUUUAUAUUUGGACACCAUAGGUUUUGAUUUUUCACGUAUUAUCUGUUUGAUAAAAUCUUUCAGUUUAUCAUUUGUAUUUGGUUCAUUUUGUUGCAAAGUUUUCACCUUUUCCGAGUCCAUGAAAUUAAUAACUGCUGUUUCGGUAAUGUUUUGAUUGCAGAUUUCUUUAGAUCCAACACAAGUAUUUGAAUGUCCCACUAACAAAUGGUUUAUAAUUCCCUGGUAUGUCAUUUCUCUUCUUGAUCUUGGUGAUGUGGUAGUUUGUAAAAAGUUCCAAUGAGUUAAUUAACAUGAGUGGAUUUUAUGUGAAGGUUAAGAUUUGUUUACUGAAGUGUAGUAAACACUUUAACAGAUCAAUGUGAAUUGUUUUAACUAUAAAUUGUGUAAAAGUUUACUAAGAUGAUCUUUAAUCAUAGUUUAAAACAAUUCAUGGAAGAUUAAAUGUACUUGCAUGAUUAAUAGUUGUGUUUUUAUUUGGAAUCAUGAAUAAAAAUUCUAAUGAUUUUAAAUUAUAGAAAUGUGAUUAUAUUACUGGAAAAAUUAUGAUUACGGCUACAUUUAUAGUAAUUAACACUACUGGUUAAAUUAAAGUAACUUUUAAACAUAUUAAUGAAUCAUUUAAAAGUUCGAAACUUUUUUGUGCCCCUGUCGUGGCGGAGGGGGAUUUAAGUGGUACCCAUGUCUGUCUGGUCAGUCCUGUCUGUCUGUCACUUAUGUCCACAAAACUGGUUUCCAUUCUUUAUUAUUAGUUUGCCUCAGCCAAAUUUUAUAAAACUAAUACAUAAUGCUUAUUGCAACAAAACAGUGAUCAAGUUUAAAAUUUGGUAGCGUCACUUUUACUGUUCAUGAGUAAAUGCUUUUAAAUGAUGAAUUUUAACAUUUAAAAAAAUCUUUGCCUAUUAUCUGGAAAAUUAUGACAAUUUUAUAAAAAAAAAUUACUAUGGAUUUUUUAAUUUUUGUGGGUACCAAUUUUCGUGGUUUGAGGAAAAUUUGCAUAUUCGUGGAUAUUUAAUUUUGUGGUUUUGGCAACGUCUGCAUACAUUCCUUUAGAAAAUUUGUAAUUCGUUGAACAUUUGAAUUUGUGAAUCUCCUGUACCCAAGAAAUCCACAAAAGUUAGUAUCCAACGAAUAUAGAUGAAUUCACAGUAUAACUUUUAAAUAACUAUACUAGAUAGAUCUUAUCAUGUUGCCAAUUUUAAAACAAAAAUGGUAAGCAAGGCAAGAUUUACAUACAAAUCAACAUGACCUUAAUUGUUGUAGUUAUUGCCCUUUAAUGAUAAUUCUUCCCAUUUUCAAAAUUGUAAAAGAUAGAUAGAAACUUCAAACGGCAAAUAUUUUCAAGAAAACAGAUACCGGUAAGUCGUAAUGGCUGAAAUCUUCAGUCGGCUUGUCAUUUGAGUUAUUGCCCUUUGAUAUGUUAACUUAAACAACUAUAAUAGAUAAAUAGAAACUUAAAAAAGGAAAAUUAACAGCAUAAGAUAUACACAGGAGUUGUUCCCCUUUAAUGAUGUUUUUACUAAACGAUGGCCAUUGUUGAAUAUGCAGUUUAGUGACACAGGCCUUUAGUUUAUUUCACAAUUGAUAUUUUCUUUUUCAGAUCACUAAAAGUAUCAGAAGAUGAAGAAAGAGCCAGUACCAGCUCAUCUAUUAGUAGGCGUAAUAUACUGCUGGAUCACAUGUUGGGUGGAAUAUCUCGUACUCCAGUGACAGUCAACAGUAUAGCUACUCAAACACCUGCUGUACGGAGAUCUAUGUCGACACAGACUGACGAAUCAGAUUCAAAUGUUAUUGUGUAAAUAUUUUAUUACAUUGUAUUUGUAUGCUUUAUGUAUCUCCUGGAACACAUGUUAGGUGGAAUAUCUCAUACUCCAGUGACAGUCAACAGUAUAGCUACUCAAACACCUGCUGUAUUGAGAUCUAUGUCGACACAGACUGACGAAUCAGAUUCAAAUGUUAUUGUGUAAACAUUUUAUUACAUUGUAUUUGUAUGCUUUAUGUAUCUACUGGAUCACAUGUUAGGUGGAAUAUCUCAUACUCCAGUGACAGUCAACAGUAUAGCUACUCAAACACCUGCUGUGCGGAGAUCUAUGUCUACACAGACUGACGAAUCAGAUUCAAAUGUUAUUGUGUAAACAUUUUAUAACUUUGUAUUUGUAUGCUUUAAGAGGGGCUUAAAAGGGGGGGGGGGUAUCUGCACGGAAGAACGCUAAAUAAAAUUGCCUUUUCACAAUGAACAAACAAUUAAAAGUGUCUUGCAUGUUGAUCUUUUUACCGAUUUCACGAAACACGGUGAAUAACUAAACCCUUUUCACGGCUGCAAGUGAAAUAAAAAUAGCAAAAUACAUAGCACGAAAAUAACCCUUUACCACCCUCCUUUAUGUAUCCUAGCUGUGUAUUACCAAUAUGGAGAGAUUAAGAUGGCCAUCUUUUAGUAAAAACAUCAUUAAAGGGGAAUAACUCUUGUGCUUUAUGUAUCCUAGUUAUGUAUUACCAAUAUGGAGAGAUUCAGAUACACACAGUCAGACUACAUAGCUUAUGAACCACAAUCAGAAGCUUUGAUCUUAUUCCAAUGCCAGUCUGAGCUCUUCACUGUCUUACUGUCAGUAGGAUAUCCAACCAUAUACUGUAAAGCAAGUAAUUUUCGCGAUGGUUUUAUUUUUGCGACUUUGCAAGAAAAAUAAUAUCACAAAUAUAAAUCGUUGGGAAUAUGUAAAUCACUAAAUUAAAUCUUGUGACAUGGACCAGAAAGGGCUAAACGCAAAAUAAAGUAUCUGCUAAAAUAGUUGGUUUACAGUAACAUACUGUGUCUAGAGUUUCAUGUUAAGCUGUAUUGACAUAAUUAUUAAAGCUACGUAGCUCACUACUGUAGUCCAAAGUUGGACAAAGAGAGAGAAAAGGCAUGUUGUCUUUUCUUAAGCAUGUUAGUGUGAUAGGUUGUAAGAUGUCUUAUACUAAAGUUAAACUACCAAAUACUCAAUUGGUUGUGUGUGUCGAAAAGACUGUAAGAGUAGUCAUGAAAACAUAAAAAGUAGAUUCUAUUCUUUCUGAUCCUCUUGUAAAAGUCAUGUAAUUCACAGCUUCAGAAUCUAACAAUUCUGGGUAAUAAUUUCAAAAGCAUACACCAAAACGUUGUGAUAACGUUCUAAUCAAUGGAAAUUCAACCAAUGACAUAACUUUAUUUUUAUUUUGGUGUACGAACAAUGAAAUUACCCAUAGUCCUUUAGAUUCUGAAAAGGUGAAUUCUCCAACAGCAAUAGUUAUGUAGGUAAGAAGAUCAACACCAGAGUAAACUUAUGCUUGUAUAGUGUAGUUACACUAACCCAUCAGGAGAUCUAUUUCUACACAGAUUACAGGGGCGGAUCCAGCCAUUUUUAAAAAGGGGGUUCCUAACCCAGGACAAAAAGAGCAGGGGUUCAAACUACAUGUCCCCAUUCAAAUACAUUGAUCGUCCCAAAAAAAAGGGGGGGUUCCAACCCCGGAAAUUCCUCCCCCUGGAUCAGCCAUUAUUGCAGAUUAUAAAUGAAUCAUAUUGAGAUGUUAAUCUAAUUGUGUGAACAUUUUAUUAUUUGUAUGCAUGAUGUACUGUAAAUUCAGAAAUUAUUGCGUGCAUUUAUUACUUCCUUUUUGUCAUUUUAGACUAAGACACAAUUUUAAUUUUUGGGAUGGGGAGAAAAAUUCUGUUUAAUUCCUAUAAAAAAAAAUAAU